GCGGAGGCAGAGAGCGCGCGCGGCGGCCGCGGCUCGCCGGCGGUGACGCGGCCAGUGCGGCCGCCGUGGGGGAGUCGAGGCGGCGUUGGGAGGCGGGGGGAGUCGAGGCGGCCAGGGCGUCGGGGUGGUCACCCGAGGCGGCGGCGGCGGCGGUGGCGGCGGCCUUGCGGCAGUGCAGAGGGUGAGGGUGAGAGGGAGGGGGAGGGGCAGCGGCCGGUGGGCCGUCAGCCCAGCUGGGCCGGCCCACCAGCGGCCAUUGUUUUAUUUUUUUUAUUUUUUAUUUUUCUUAUUUGAUGUAUAUGAUGUAUAAUUGUUAUAAAUAAUUAUUAAUUGUUCUAAAUAAAUAUAUAUGAUGUAUUAUUAAUUAUUAAUUGUCCUAAAUACUUACUAAUUGUCAUAAAUAAUUAUUAAUUAUUAAUUGUCCUAGAUAAAUGUAUAUAAUGUUUUAUUUUUCUUAAAAUUAUUAAUUGUCCCAAAUAAUUAUUAAUUGUCCUAAAUAAAUGUAUAUGAUGUUUUAAUUUUCUUAUAUACAUUAUGCAUAUCCUAAAUAAUUAUUUUAUAUUUUUCUUAUUUGAUGUA
rnacentral:lncRNA from 1 species